rfam:Candidatus Glomeribacter gigasporarum BEG34, WGS project CAFB01000000 data, contig: Contig1609-1692
UUGAGCCGGAUGAUGGGAAACUGUCAAGUCCGGUUCUUAGGGGAGGGGUGCAGGGCGACCUGUCACCUCUUACCCGAC